rnacentral:rRNA from 1 species
GACGAACGCUGGCGGCGUGCUUAACACAUGCAAGUCGAACGGAAAGGCCCUGCUUUUGUGGGGUGCUCGAGUGGCGAACGGGUGAGUAACACGUGAGUAACCUGCCCUUGACUUUGGGAUAACUUCAGGAAACUGGGGCUAAUACCGGAUAGGAGCUCCUGCUGCAUGGUGGGGGUUGGAAAGUUUCGGCGGUUGGGGAUGGACUCGCGGCUUAUCAGCUUGUUGGUGGGGUAGUGGCUUACCAAGGCUUUGACGGGUAGCCGGCCUGAGAGGGUGACCGGCCACAUUGGGACUGAGAUACGGCCCAGACUCCUACGGGAGGCAGCAGUGAGGAAUAUUGCACAAUGGGCGGAGGCCUGAUGCAGCAACGCCGCGUGCGGGAUGACGGCCUUCGGGUUGUAAACCGCUUUCGCCUGUGACGAAGCGUGAGUGACGGUAAUGGGUAAAGAAGCACCGGCUAACUACGUG